GAAAUGGCAGGCCUUGGAGGGACUGGCUGGAGCUAUUCAACAGAGGAGAAGACUUUGCAGAGAUGACGAGAAAUCAGAAGGCUGCCGUGAAAGAGUUAAACUGAGACUGGGGACAAGUUUCUGGACACUAUUUCAGGCAAUGGGACCAGAUAAUUCCUUGAUGUGAAUUUCGAUUCUCAAGCACAAAGUGGAAGUGUGGGCAGGCUGUGUGACUGUGAAAGCCGGAUCCUAUCCUUUCCUGACAGUUGUAAACACACAGUUUCUCAUAGGCUUUUUAAAAAACAUUCCCCACUUUACUCCAGUGUUCUGAUAGUAAAGAUUCACAUUGAGUGCCAAUUGCUCUCUAGUAUCUUGUCUAACUGUUUCAUUCUUCAGGUGUGAGCUUGACCAUAAGUGUGCAGGUUAUUUCAAGCAUGGACGGUAUCACAGUAGGAUCUGACCUAGUCCUUACCAAACAGGCAUACACGAGAAUUUUCUAGUAGGAUUUUAAUCUAGAGCGGAAACCCUAACUGAAUUUUUACAUCUACCUAGGCCACUGAUUGGUAAACAGCAAAUGUUUGGCAGGGGGAAAGUGUGGAUUUCACCCCACUUUCACACAUCAAUAUUGGAAAACAAAUAUUGAACUAAAACUACCUUAAGCAGCUGUUAUAAGGCUUACAAUUUUUAAAGCAAAAAUUGUCCGCUUGAAAAGUAAAAAAUAAUGGCGGAGACUGGUGUUUGAAAAGGAAGAAACCACUUGGUUGGAAACAUGUGCCACCCCCUAAUAGGUAAUAGUUUUCACUAUCUAAGAAGUGUCCUGGCCAACAAUCCUCCAAAAUAAAAUUGGUCAUUC